GGGGAGCGGCGCCGGGGAAAGAGCGCUCUGUGGUCACGUGACAUCCCCCUCCCCGAACUGCGGCGGCGGCGGCGAGCGCCGGCCGCGUAGGAGCAGAGCUGCAGCGGCGGCCGCGGGCACCGGAGUGUCGAGCCCAGGACGCCCCCGGCCCAGGCCCGCGGGUGGACAAGUCCUUCACCCCUCGCCGGAGUGUGUGGAGGAGUGAUGGGCAGAACCAGCGCUUCCCUCAGGCACUAGACCUUUCACGAGUGAACUUAGUUCCCUCCUAUACUGCUUCACUCUACCCUAAGAACACAGAUUUAUUUGAGAUGAUUGAAAAGAUGCAGGGAAGCAGGAUGGAUGAACAACGCUGCUCCUUCCCGCCGCCCCUCAAAACAGAAGAGGACUACAUUCCCUACCCGAGUGUGCAUGAGGUCUUGGGGCGAGAAGGGCCCUUCCCCCUCAUCCUGCUGCCCCAGUUUGGGGGCUACUGGAUUGAAGGCACUAACCACGAAAUCACCAGCAUCCCUGAGACGGAGCCGCUGCAGUCGCCCACGACCAAGAUGAAGCUCGAGUGCAACCCCACAGCCCGCAUCUACCGGAAACACUUUCUCGGCAAGGAGCAUUUCAAUUACUACUCACUGGACACUGCCCUCGGCCACCUUGUCUUCUCACUCAAGUACGAUGUCAUCGGGGACCAAGAGCACCUGCGGCUGCUGCUCAGGACCAAGUGCCGGACAUACCAUGAUGUCAUCCCCAUCUCCUGCCUCACCGAAUUCCCUAAUGUUGUCCAGAUGGCAAAGCUGGUGUGUGAAGAUGUCAACGUGGAUCGAUUCUAUCCUGUGCUCUACCCCAAGGCUUCCCGGCUCAUCGUCACCUUUGACGAGCACGUCAUCAGCAAUAACUUCAAGUUUGGCGUCAUUUAUCAGAAGCUUGGGCAGACCUCUGAGGAAGAACUCUUCAGCACCAAUGAGGAGAGCCCUGCCUUCGUGGAGUUCCUUGAAUUUCUUGGCCAGAAGGUCAAACUGCAGGACUUUAAGGGGUUCCGAGGAGGCCUGGACGUGACCCACGGGCAGACGGGGACCGAAUCUGUGUACUGCAACUUCCGCAACAAGGAGAUCAUGUUUCACGUGUCCACCAAGCUGCCCUACACAGAAGGGGACGCCCAGCAGUUGCAGCGGAAGCGGCACAUCGGCAAUGACAUCGUGGCUGUGGUCUUCCAGGAUGAGAACACGCCUUUUGUGCCCGACAUGAUUGCAUCCAACUUCCUGCAUGCCUAUGUAGUGGUGCAGGCUGAGGGUGGGGGCCCUGAUGGCCCCCUCUACAAGGUCUCUGUCACUGCAAGAGAUGAUGUGCCCUUCUUCGGACCCCCACUCCCGGACCCCGCUGUGUUCAGGAAGGGGCCUGAGUUCCAGGAAUUUUUGCUGACAAAGCUGAUCAAUGCUGAAUAUGCCUGCUACAAGGCAGAGAAGUUUGCCAAACUGGAGGAGCGGACGCGGGCCGCCCUCCUGGAGACGCUCUAUGAGGAACUGCACAUCCACAGCCAGUCCAUGAUGGGCUUGGGCGGCGACGAGGACAAGAUGGAGAAUGGCAGUGGGGGUGGCGGCUUCUUUGAGUCUUUCAAGCGGGUCAUCCGGAGCCGCAGCCAGUCCAUGGAUGCCAUGGGGCUGAGCAACAAGAAGCCCAACACCGUGUCCACCAGCCACAGUGGGAGCUUCGCACCCAACAACCCCGACCUGGCCAAGGCGGCUGGAAUAUCAUUGCUUAUUCCUGGGAAAAGCGCGAGUAGAUUCGGACGCCGGGGCAGUGCCAUAGGCAUAGGAACCGUGGAAGAGGUUGUCGUCCGCGGGGCCGCCAGCUCUGGAGGCUGCCUGCACGCGCUGUUCUCUGCUCGUACUCAGGACGGAGGCCAUAUUGGGGACGUUGCCCCCCUGCCCCCGGGACAGGCCCCAGGGCGUGCGGGAUGGAGCGGCAGCAGCUCCGAUGGCACUCAGCACCUGCUUUGGGGCCUGUCACUGAUUGUCCCUGGGAAGAGCCCCACGAGGAAGAAGGCAGGCCCGUUUGGCUCCCGCCGCAGCAGCGCCAUUGGCAUCGAGAACAUACAGGAGGUGCAGGAGAAGAGGGAGAGCCCUCCGGCUGGCCAGAAGACCCCAGACAGCGGGCACGUCUCCCAGGAGCCCAAGUCGGAGAACUCAUCCACUCAGAGCUCCCCAGAGAUGCCCACGACCAAGAACAGAGCGGAGACUACCGCGCAGAGAGCAGAGGCGCUCAAGGACUUCUCCCGCUCCUCGUCCAGUGCCAGCAGCUUCGCCAGCGUGGUGGAGGAGACGGAGGGCGUGGAUGGAGAGGACACCGGCCUGGAGAGUGUGUCGUCCUCUGGAACACCCCACAAGCGGGACUCCUUCAUCUAUAGCACAUGGCUGGAGGACAGUGUCAGCACCACUAGUGGGGGCAGCUCCCCAGUGAGGUGGCUCCCUCCUGCCCCCCUCCCCAGGCCCCUCUCGAUCACCCCACCCAGACGCCGGCAAGCUGGGGGACCCUGCGUGUCCCGAGAUCAAGAUCCAGUUGGAAGCAUCUGAGCAGCACACAACCCAGCUGGGCUGUUAGCCCAGCCGCCCCCUCUGAAGGUGCAACUGAGCAGAUGAGGCCACGGAAGCACAAGGGGAAGAUGCCGUGUCAAGUCCAGGCAGAUGGGACCUCUGCCCUGAAGACCAACACCAGCCCGUGGGCCGCCCCCUGCCUCUCCACCCUCCCCAUGGCCCACCCAUCUGGGCUGUCUCUGCAGGGCAGAGCCAUCCAGACUUGGGAUUGGGGAAGCUGCUGGCAUCGUCCCCACCCCCAGCCUGGGGGUCCGGGCUGGGGCAAGGAUUGCUCAGUGGAAGCAAGACUGGGGACCUGGCUUGCCCCCACCCUGGGCCUCCAUCACCCUUGAGCAUCCCUCUGGACUCAGAGGGAACACAAUGGGAGAGAGGGAUUGAGACAGCUCAGUGCGGAGAGCUUACUCCCUGAAGGCAGCAGGAAGUGGAUGUGACAUGUUGGGGAGUGAGCACUAGGUUGGGGGUCAGGGGUCCUGGUUUCUGAUUUGGGUUCUGCUGUGUGACUCUGGCCAAGUUACUCUCCCUCUCUGGGCACUUCUGCUACAAAUGGACAUGAUUAUUUCAGAAGUCACUGAUGACUGAUUACAUGUAUCUGCCCUAGAAGCUGGGAUUUUCUUCCCAGGGACCUCCCAUCACUCUACCCUGCUUCUUAAGGUCCCUGGGGCCCCAGGUGGGCAGAGGGGCAGGGAGCUGGCUGUGCCCAUUGCACCUCCCAGACCCUCCAGUUCUGCCACAGGUCUGCCAGUGCCCUGUCCACUGCCUGCACAUAACAGACAAAUGACCCCCUCAUUGGGGAUGGGGACCUCCCUGGCUCUUCAGUCAGCACCCAGCUUCACCCCUGCCAUCCCAUGCCGCUGGGCCCUCCACGCCGAGAGUCUCAGUUGGCCGUGAGUCCAGGCCUUGCCCCCACCGCCAUGGAGGGGCAGCCAGGCGCAGCUGCUGGGAGCCCUUGUGUAUCUGCCACACUUUUUAGGCGCCAUGCCAAAGGCCAGCCUCCCAGCCCCAACACCCAUUUUGGAAGCCCCUGUGGCCGUGUGGAUGUCGGUAACAGUUGUAUAAAAUAAAUUCUAUUUAUCGCUAUUGUA